rnacentral:sRNA from 2 species
UGAAUCCAUCGACCGAGUCACUCACGGCAGGAGCGGGGGACCCAGGUAAGCCGCCGGACCGGGCGCGUACGCCCCGUGGUGUACGCCGCAUCGGACCGGCUCGGGGUGAAGCCGUGCCCUCGGGCGCGGCCGGGCACCUCCCCGCCCGAACCCGACAGCUCACCUCGCAGGCGGCGGAGAGGAACA